rnacentral:rRNA from 1 species
CCGAGCACCCCUCGGAACACGACCCCCGUCAGGCGGGGCCACCCGC